rnacentral:rRNA from 1 species
AUACGAAGGGAGCUAGCGUUGUUCGGAAUUACUGGGCGUAAAGCGCGCGUAGGCGGAUUGGCAAGUUGGGGGUGAAAUCCCGGGGCUUAACCCCGGAACUGCCCUCAAAACUGCUGAUCUAGAGACCGGGAGAGGUAAGCGGAAUUCCUAGUGUAGAGGUGAAAUUCGUAGAUAUUAGGAAGAACACCAGUGGCGAAGGCGGCUUACUGGACCGGUACUGACGCUAAGGUGCGAAAGCGUGGGGAGCAAACAGGAUUAGAAACCCCGGUAGUCC